UCCAUGGAGCUUGCACUGAUCGGGAUUCCCAGAUGGUGAUGGGCACCGAGGGUCCAGAGGGCAGGAGAGAAGCAGAGCAGAGGCCCCAGCCCGAUCAGACAGGAGAUGAUGAAGUCGCAAUGGAAUUGAUGCAGUUUAAAUCCAGUGAUUCCCGAUGGAUCUAUUAAUUAACUAGCACAACAAUUAUCCUGCAGACAGAGGGCCCGAAAACCGGACACCUGGCAACCCUAACAACCAGGGCUGCGGGUUCUGCUACCGCACCUGACCCGGAUGAACGGAUGGACCUGGACAGACCCCAGCAGCGCUGCCCCAAGUACGCUGCCUGGCCGGGCCUGCUCCCCCCAGCUCUGCCGCUCCGCUCCCACACCGC